rnacentral:ncRNA from 2 species
UUAUCCCGCGCGGGAGAGUCCGAGUCGUGCAGUCUCGGCGCCGAAGGAGCAAAUCCUCCCCGGAACCUCUCAGGCGCAAGGACCGCGCGGGUGAG